rnacentral:rRNA from 1 species
CGCGUGGGAAUUUGCCUUUCGGUACGGGAUAACGUUUGGAAACGAACGCUAAUACCGUAUGAUGUCUACGGACUAAAGAUUUAUCGCCGAGAGAUGAGCCCGCGUAGGAUUAGGUAGUUGGUGGGGUAAUGGCCUACCAAGCCGACGAUCUUUAGCUGGUCUGAGAGGACGAUCAGCCACACUGGAACUGAGACACGGUCCAGACUCCUACGGGAGGCAGCAGUGGGGAAUAUUGGACAAUGGGCGCAAGCCUGAUCCAGCCAUGCCGCGUGAGUGAAGAAGGCCUUAGGGUUGUAAAAC